GGAACCUGAAAAGGGGAAAUAAAAUGACCCUAAACAGUCUUCACACUAAAACAGGAUUCUACAGAGAUCCUCCUGCCAAAAGGAAUUUAUGGAUGAUAACAUUGAUGAUGACGUUCUCUGUGCCAAGAGAGUUGUGAAAGAUCCUAAUGGGAUGUCUGCCUGGUAAGGGGAACAUGAAGGGCAGAGACCAGCCACUCUGCCAGAGAUGGAUCAAGACAGAAUCUGGGCUACUGAUGUGGCCUGGGUAAAACACUGCAAAGAUAAGGAUUUGUCCAAAUA